rnacentral:rRNA from 1 species
GACGAACGCUGGCGGCGUGCUUAACACAUGCAAGUCGAACGGGCUCUGUCUGGCUGUGUGCUGGGUGGGGUUAGUGGCGAACGGGGGAGUAAUACGUGAGUAACCUGCCCUCUUCUUUGGGAUAAGCCUUGGAAACGGUGUCUAAUACUGGAUAUUCCAGUCUGGUCGCAUGGCUGGGGGGGGACAGUUUUUUUCGGUGUGGAAUGGGCUGGCGGCCUAUCAGCUUGUUGGUGGGGUGAUGGCCUACCAAGGCGUGGACGGGUAGCCGGCCGGAGAGGGUGACCGGCGGAACUGGGACUGAGAUCCGGCCCAGACGGGUGGGGGAGGCAGCAGUGGGGGGUAAUGGGUAGUGAGCGUAAGCCUGAGGCAGCGAGGCGGCGUGGGGGACGACGGCGUUCGGGUGGUAAACCUCUUUCGUAGAAGGACAAGGGUCUGCUUGGUGGUGGGGUUGAGGGUACCCGGUGAAGAAGCGCCGGCUAACUACGUG